rnacentral:rRNA from 1 species
GGGCGUGCUUAACACAUGCAAGUCGAACGAAGCACUUAUCUUUGAUUCUUCGGAUGAAGAGAUUUGUGACUGAGUGGCGGACGGGUGAGUAACGCGUGGGUAACCUGCCUCAUACGGGGGGAUAACAGUUAGAAAUGACUGCUAAUACCGCAUAAGACCACAGAGCCGCAUGGCUCGGUGGGAAAAACUCCGGUGGUAUGAGAUGGACCCGCGUCUGAUUAGGUAGUUGGUGGGGUAACGGCCUACCAAGCCAACGAUCAGUAGCCGACCUGAGAGGGUGACCGGCCACAUUGGGACUGAGACACGGCCCAAACUCCUACGGGAGGCAGCAGUGGGGAAUAUUGCACAAUGGGGGAAACCCUGAUGCAGCGACGCCGCGUGAGCGAAGAAGUAUUUCGGUAUGUAAAGCUCUAUCAGCAGGGAAGAAAAUGACGGUACCUGACUAAGAAGCACCGGCUAAGUACGUGCCAGCAGCCGCGGUAAUACGUAUGGUGCAAGCGUUAUCCGGAUUUACUGGGUGUAAAGGGAGCGUAGACGGCUGUGUAAGUCUGAAGUGAAAGCCCGGGGCUCAACCCCGGGACUGCUUUGGAAACUAUGCAGCUAGAGUGUCGGAGAGGUAAGUGGAAUUCCCAGUGUAGCGGUGAAAUGCGUAGAUAUUGGGAGGAACACCAGUGGCGAAGGCGGCUUACUGGACGAUGACUGACGUUGAGGCUCGAAAGCGUGGGGAGCAAACCAGGAUUAGAUAACCGGGUAUUCCACGCCGUAAACGAUGAUUACUAGGGGUCGGGGAGCAAAGCUCUUCGGUGCCGCAGCAAACGCAAUAAGUAGUCCCACCCUGGGGAGUACGUUCGCAAGAAUGAAACUCAAAGGAAUUGACGGGGACCCGCACAAGCGGUGGAGCAUGUGGUUUAAUUCGAAGCAACGCGAAGGACCUUACCUGCUCUUGACAUCCCGGUGACCGGCAUGUAAUGAUGCCUUUUCUUCGGAACACCGGUGACAGGUGGUGCAUGGUUGUCGUCAGCUCGUGUCGUGAGAUGUUGGGUUAAGUCCCGCAACGAGCGCAACCCUUAUCUUCAGUAGCCAGCAUUUUGGAUGGGCACUCUGGAGAGACUGCCAGGGAUAACCUGGAGGAAGGUGGGGAUGACGUCAAAUCAUCAUGCCCCUUAUGAGCAGGGCUACACACGUGCUACAAUGGCGUAAACAAAGGGAAGCGAGCCUGCGAGGGUAAGCAAAUCUCAAAAAUAACGUCUCAGUUCGGAUUGUAGUCUGCAACUCGACUACAUGAAGCUGGAAUCGCUAGUAAUCGCGAAUCAGCAUGUCGCGGUGAAUACGUUCCCGGGUCUUGCAAAGACCCUCCGUC